GAGUGUCCCUCGCAAUUGGUAUUUUUUGUUAUCGCAUGGUACAUGUAUGAUACAUAUAUUAUCGAGCAUGUCCAACGCGCAUAAAUAUUUAAACAUUCAGACAUAAAAUAUACUUCACGUAAAUCAUGUUAAUUUAUUUUUCUAUUUUUUUAAUAGAAAACAUAUUAAUAUUUAAUAGAAAGACAUUUUAAUCGAUUAACAUGAUUUUUUUUAAAUUAAUUAAAUUAAUUUCAAUUCUAAUUUUCACCUUUGAUCUUAUUUCAGGCAAUUAUACGCAAUUACUAGACAUUAAUAAAAAAUAAGUAGUUGAUAUUAAUUGGUAUAAAAGAAUAAUUAAGGUGGAUAAAAAUUGCUUCCACGGGAACACUUAAAUUAAGCGACUUGUUGUUGAGAUCUUGGAAUGAUUGAAAAAUAUCAAUUUUUUCGCUAAAUUGCUUCAAAUAUCCAAAUACUUACAUAUGCAGUCUUAUCUAUAAUUGCUUCGAGCACAGUGUUGUCUUAUCUCUGCUUUGUUUUGUAUAGUUAUACCUUCAGUGUAAAUAUCAUAUAGUAAUCACAUUGUUAUAUUAGCACCGAAUGCGUUAAAGACAUCAUUCACCAAUUGUCUGAAACACCCUGUAUAGUAUUUGUACACGAAUCUACGUGAAUAGCACAUUGGGUACAUACACAGCGACACAAUACGUAUGUAUGUACUUAUAUUUUCGUAUUAUAUACACUUUAAUAAUGUUCGAUCGUAACACGUUCGUGCAUCUAAUUGCUGUUCUGUUGUCGUUUUUUUUCACAUAGUAUUUAAAUUUCUCGUCAUAAGAUUUAAAUCGAGUUCAUUUGAAAACGCUUACGUAACGCGCGUGAAAAUGUUAUCGAUAGACUAGACAGUUCGUUUUCUUGCAGCAUGACGGCAGAUUUUUCCCCGUUUCCCCAUUUUUAUUUCUAACAGGUCCACUACCCUCUGAAAUUCCCCCAAAAUAAGAUUCUUAUCAUUGAAUAAUAUUUUAACUGUUAUUUAAAAAUGAAGCUGCGUUUUUUUAGGUUACUUAAGUUAGAAUAAGUAUGAAAACUCUAUGUUCGACCUUGAGAUUGGAAACGACAAAUGAUAUUAGCGAAAUAGAAAUAUACUUUGGUAAAUGUUAUUCACCAAUUUUCGAAUAUAAAAAAAGCUUUCUCGUUAAGCAACGAUACAAAGUGGGUCAACGAUAUACAAAAAUAAUAUACAUACAUAAAUGUAUAAUGCAAUAUGUAAUAUAUAUAAUAUAUCAUUGUUUUAUAUUAUGUUCGUUGAUAAGACAGUUGGUCGAGAAGGAAAAUUUUAAUUAUAUAUCAAAUAUAUGCAAUUACAUUAAUAUUUGUUUCUGAGAACAAAGCGAAUUUACUAACCUCCAUCGACUACGCGUAUAUCGUUACAUUGUAUAAUUCAUGAUAAAAUACUAGAACAAAUGUUCUAUGUUUUGUGAUUAAUUUUCUGCUUUUAAAUAAGAGCAUUAUUAAAUACCAAUUAAUAGUUGAUUUAGUGUUUUAUAAUUAAUCAAUAGAUUCAAGCAGAAUUAUUCCAUUCCAAUUUCACUGAUAUUAAUUCAAUUCUGCAAACUGUAUCAUUUGUAUGACAACGAAAUGAUCUACCAAAUUAAUCUCAAUGACACUACUACAAAGAAAAUCAUGCAGUAAUGUAACCCAAAUCUAAACGUAUAAAAUAAAAGAUCAUAAUUAAAAUUGAUAAAAUGAAAGUUAUUAUGAAACAUAUAUAAAUACAAAAUUUGUAUGCACUGAGCAACCUAACCUAAGUAUGAAACAAACAUAAUUCCUCGAAUGACAAUUGAUCGAGCAUUACGGUAAUAAUGCAUGUAUGUAUUUGUAAAUUGAUAGCCUUAUCGAUCUCGUGACGAAAAAGUAGAAAGCUGAGAUACCAGUAUUUUGCGAAAGUAUUAACGCGGUAAAAAUUCAACAACAUAAACGAACGACAUGCAUAAAUUUAUCUCGCCGGAGAAAGUGAAAGGUAACAAGAAAACUGAAUCGUUGCCGUUGUAAAAAUUUCACUGGAAUAAUUUCCUGGAUCAUUAAGUGAUAACUCGACUUUGUUCAAUCCUUAUCAUUGAUCAUUAUGUAUUCCAAGGAAGAAGUAUGUACUUUCUCUUUCGCCUUGUUCACGGUUAAAGAAUAUAGGAUGUUUUAUUUAUUUAUAUUAGUAUCUUCCUAUUUUUAGACAAAAUCAAAGGAUGAAGCAAAUAAAGAAGAUAAUUCGUAAUCAACCUGCGAUAAUGUUGAUUAUUUAUGACCUACGUAACAUGUUACUUUAAUCCGGUUUGCAUACAGAAUUCGAUACGUAUGCAACGCAAGUCAUUACAACAGCGAUUGUCAUCUGUGUCGUCCAACAUUAGAAUAGAUUAACUAUGAACGACUGAACAGUGAACAUUUUGAUAGAAUUAAUAAGACUAAACAUUGGCCUUCUUCAUAGCGAAGUUCAUUCGAAGAUUGCUCAAUCGAGAUUCUUUAACUAGUGAUGAACUGCGACUAUGAUCUGGCAAAGGACGACCUUGAAAUGCUUACAUAAUACGUGUGGUAUAAAUGUAAGGUUGAGGAUGUCUUCUUGACAUUGUUUCUUCAAAUCUUUGAAAUCGUAACUCUUUUGACGAUUUUAGCGCUUCUUUAUUUUAAUACGACUACGUUGCUGUAAUAAAUGGAGCUAGAUUGCCAUAUUUUGUUAAAAAUGUUUUUAUUCUAUAUUUAGGAGAAGAGAUCGAAGAUUAUUUGGCUAUUAUAAAAGAAGGUCGCGAAUCAAAACAGGUCGGAAACUCCUAAGUUAUGAAAUAUAUUUCAUAUUGAAGCUCUAUUGUAUAAAUAUUUGAAAGUAUCUGUUCAGGCUACAGUGAAAAAUUGAUAAGCAGUAUUCUAAGUUCCAAAAUCAUUAUAGCAAUUUUAGACAAUUUUAUUGAUUGUUAAUUGCUAGAUGUAGUUGUUAAGUAUAUAUAAUAAGCGUUUUAUAGAUGGAUAUGUAACUUUGUCCGUUUUCAACUGAAUAAGUUAUGUGUUAAAUAGCAUUUGCUUGGACAUUAAUACACACUUUACUAAUGUAUAUAGCUUCCUGAACAACAUUUAUUUCAUAAUUUUAUUUGUUUAUAUUAUAUAUGAUUUCAUUUUCUUUAUUUUCACUGUAAAAAUAUAACUAUGAGGUUUUAAUCAACUUUUUUAUGAGAUUGAUUAUUAAUUAAUUCAUUGCUUGAUUUUAUCUAUAGAAAUUUCGAUGGCACCUGUUACUCGCUACCUAAUAUCAAUAAGACAGUGGUAAGAUUUUACUGUCACUUAAAUGACUGUAUUAUUCAACAUGAACCGUAGUUAAAAACAAGAACUGGAUAAUUGUAAGUAAUAUAAAUACAAAUAUACUAUUUCCUGCAACAAGAUAAGCUAGUCUAUGCGAAUACUUUUAAUCGUGACUGAGUAUAUUACAAACAUUACUAUACUGUAUCGUGAAAUUUCAAGAAUUAUGGAAAAUUAGUGUUAAAACUGUUGUACCUGACAGUGAUAUCUACAAGAUUGAUAGCGAUAUCGAGUCUUAAUUUUAACUUAAUAUCUUUUAAUUUUAAGAAAUCAAGUUUCCCUUUUCCGGAAAUGUUCCCCAUUGAUAUAUUUCUAUGUAGUAAAAAUUAUAUAAUAUUACUUGUAGAAACGUUUGUGUAUAGUAUAUUUUUAUUAUAAUAUAGCAAACAUCACGGACGAAAUAUUAUAAGAAUUUAAUGUACAAAACAUAAUUUGUCAUGUUGAUACAGAAUAAACAACGUCGGCAAAACAGUAAGUAAAUAUUGCUUACCAAAAACAGGAACAUCCUAUAAAUCAACUGUCAUAAAACCGUUUUAUAAGCAGUUUUUGAAACUCAUUUCAAUAUAUGCUUAUGCCUUCUAUCUACUUUGUUAUUAUAACGCAUGACGCACGUAAAUAUGAAAUGCAUACAAUCAUAAAAGUCUACAUACACCUAAGUCUUUUGCACUGUCCUACCGAAAAAAUUAAAACAUACUUUGUUCACUAUUAUCUAUAAUUACAUAUCAAUACAAAUUACCCUUAGUGAGUUUCUAAAAAGAAUGACAAAAAUUUAACGAUUGACAGAAAAAUCUUGCGAUAAAAUUACAUCAUAAAUUACAUGAUAAAAAUGAAUAAAUCAGAUUUUAUAGUAUUGUGAAUUUAUAUUUUUCCUUAACUACACAAGUUAGUUUAAAAUAACUGGAAUUUUGAUAUCGUUUGAUCUAUUGAAGUUUUAUGAAUGUAAAGAGUUAGAAUGAUAUAAUAUUGUACUAUAAGAAGUAACUCAAAAACAAAAAUAUAUAUUAUUUAUUUCGAUUAUGCCGAAAAUAUACUUUAUCCUCUUGAUAAAGUGAAAAGAGGCAUGAAAAGAGCUGUGCUAUUUUUUAAAUAUCUUAAGCAAGUAAUACUAUCUUAAGAAAUUUGUAUCUGACUGAUGUGAUGACGCUAUCAAUUACCGAUUAUACAAAAGAAUCGCAGAUUAUAAAAUAUAUGUAUUAAGAUAAUAUGUAUAACAUAUACUAUAUUUUCAAUUUUUAAUUUACAAUAUAAAGUCACUAUAGCGUUAUCAAUAAAAAGUUAUGAAUAGUGAAUAAUUAUAUAGUUAAUCCUAAUAGAACAAAUGAAAAAUUACCAUAUAUCAAGUGAAAAAUUAUAACAAAAAACUAGUUGUUUGAUAAAUGAUACAUUUGUGUUAGUUUGACUUCAAGGUAUUGAAAUGCAAAAAUUGAAUUAAUUACAUGUUAAUCUCCUCCAUUUUCGCUGAGUACAUUACGAAUUCUUUGUUAAUUCCAGAUGCGUAUUAAUUUUUAUUGUGCAUAAACAUUAUUCUUUAAAAUUCUCCACAAAUAAAAAUCUAGUGCCGCAAACAUUAGCGAAUUCGAGGCUUAAACAAUUGCAGUGCAUUUCAAAAUGUGGAAAAAUCGAUCCAUUCUAAUAUUCGUAACAUUUUUUUUCUCAUUUUUCCUCGUAGA